UACAGAGGGGGCAAGCGUUAUUCGGAAUUAUUGGGCGUAAAGGGCGCGUAGGCGGCUUUGCAAGUGGCGGGUGAAAUCCCUCGGCUUAACCGAGGAACUGCCUGUCAAACUGCAUGGCUUGAGACCAGGAGAGGUGAGUGGAAUUCCCAGUGUAGCGGUGAAAUGCGUAGAUAUUGGGAGGAACACCAGUGGCGAAGGCGACUCUUUGGCCUGUAACUGACGCUGAGGCGCGAAAGCGUGGGGAGCAAACAGG
rnacentral:rRNA from 1 species